AGAGUUCCGGUCUUCUUGCUCCUGCCCGGCUCACUGAGGAGUUGACCCAGAACCUCCUGAAGCUUCAUCAUGUGUUCUUCAUACUUUAUGAUGAACUCGAGCGUCAGUGGGAACUUCAGUGAACACGAUCCACCCUGAUCAGGCAGCUUUGGACCAUGUGUGAUCAACUAUCAUAACUUCCUGCCUGACGGAGGCCUCCACGUGUCAUCUGGAUUCAAGGUUCGAGGCCCUCGUGCGCCCCCCCCCCCCCGCUGCGUUUACUGCCUGCAGGAGGAAGCACGUGGACAAGAUGUAACUUCAAGAACGAAGUCCACGUGAGGACGAGCUGGUCCUCAUGAUAUGAACCAGGUGGUGAAAGGAGAAGGAGCAGACCUGGACUGAGUCAGAAGUCGCACAAGAAAAGACGAGAUGCAUUAAAUUGUGUUUUAAAAACCAUGUUU